UGAGGUCAGGAUGACGGUAUGUUAUUGGUUAGCCCGAGUAUGACAUCAUUUUGCCAACACAGCUGGGAAAAAUAGUAGUAACUUCGUUUACUGAUAUUCUUUGUAAUUUUAUCGUGAAAAUGUGGUCUUAAAGUAGUACACAUUACAAUUAACACAUUAAGUAAGUGUGUGGUUCAUUCGUUCGAAGAAUACGAGCUGCUGACAGACAAGUCAACGCGAUGACCGGACCGGCAACUUCGCAGGUGCCCGAUUGGUUUUUGAGGCGACGCCCACUUUAGGGACAGGAGUGCUUUCAAUCAACCGUGAAUGACCAUGGCAAAAGUUACUGGGUUCAGACAUGGCUCACAUACAUAGCCGUUCCCCAAAGAUGAUGACAUCAUUGGAGUAUGUAGAGGACAUGGGGUGUGUGACGUCACCAAUAUAGACGAGGUCAUGACUUUCAACAAACUACAAACAAGAAGUACAGCUGUUUCCAUGGUUACGUGUUUGGCAACAGAUUAUAAAGGUAAAGAAACAUGCUAUAUAAACAUGCUAUAUCAAUAUCAUCUCAAUUCAACUUUCUUCACUAGUGAUACAAAACAAUUGUUGUGAAAGUAUUACUGACAAAAUAAACUGUACAGGUUAUUAAAUAUCUCAUUACCUUAGCAACCAUGGAAAUAUUCAAAAACGGAAUCAGUAAUCAGGAGAUUGGUCAACGAAGACCCUUUAAUCAGUAAGCCUGUUUCUAUUAUACACUAUUUACAGGUGCAUUAUAUAUAGUAAGCAUAACUAUCAAACACCUGUAGUAACCCUGUACGUUACACAGAAUAAACUGUAAUUCAUCUAAA